rnacentral:lncRNA from 1 species
CUGAGAUUCGAGUCGACUCCAGUGGAACGCGAGUCGACUCCCAGCGGUACACAAAGAAAAAGUCAGAGAACGUUUUUAUGGACUCUGAGAUUCGAGUCGACUCCAGUGGAACGCGAGUCGACUCCCAGCGGUACACAAAGAAAAAGUCAGAGAGUGUUUUAUGGACUCUGAGAUUCGAGUCGACUCCCAGACAGCUCGAGUCGACUCCAAGACAAGCUUCACGACAAAAGGCAGAAGACCAACUUUUGGAAACUGAGAGCCGAGUCGACUCCAAGGAAGUUCGAGUCGACUCCAAGACUGGAUGAGCCAAAAGACAGAGAAUCGGGAGUUCGGGCUCUGAGAUUCGAGUCGACUCCCAGGACAGCCGAGUCGACUCGAGUGGACAAAAUUCAAAUUUGGAUCCACGGACUUCAGUGGAUGAGCCGACUCCAAAAUUGCCAGGUCAGCGCCAGAAGUUGGCGAGUCGACUCCGGGUCGAGACGAGUCGACUCCCAGUCAAGACGGCAACUUUAAUUCAAACUUGGAACAGUUGCCGAGUCGACUCCGGAAAAGCUCGAGUCGACUCCUGCUACAGCCGAGUCGACUCCUGAUCGCGCGAGUCGACUCCAACCCACCAACGGUCACAGUGUCAGGCUGCGCAGAGUGUGCAGAACGGCCAGAAAAAGCAGAGUAACGGCUAGUUUCCGUGGGGGUUGGCUUAAAUAGCCCCAGAAGACUGUAGCAAGGUAGAGAAUAGACAUUCCACUCCAAGCAUUCAAGUUUCCAAGCUCUCCAAGUGCUCUUCAACGAGAAAAAGGGAAGAUCUGCAUUUACUGCUUCAACAACUUCUUCCCAGCAUUCAAAGCUUCCUCCUCCUGCAUUCAAGUCGGCCACUCUUUCAAGAGGAGACCGGAGUUCCAGAAGCCAUACCUCUUCACCAGUUUAAAAGCGUUUGAGGGCUUCUAAACUCCUUUACGUUUAUAUUGUUUAAAUCUGCUUAUUGAGAAGCUAUUUUCUGUUUUCUUCUAUUUCUUGUAU